UACGAAGGGUGCAAGCGUUACUCGGAAUUACUGGGCGUAAAGCGUGCGUAGGUGGUUUGUUAAGUCUGUUGUGAAAGCCCCGGGCUCAACCUGGGAAUGGCAAUGGAUACUGGCAAGCUAGAGUGCGGUAGAGGGUAGUGGAAUUCCCGGUGUAGCGGUGAAAUGCGUAGAGAUCGGGAGGAACACCAGUGGCGAAGCGGACGUA
rnacentral:rRNA from 1 species